rnacentral:rRNA from 1 species
AUCCGCCUAACAGCUAGCCUAAACCAAACUUAAGAUUUACAUAAAGUUAAGACUUAAAAUAACUAAAACAAAUCAUUUUAACACCUUAGUAUGGGCGACAGAAAAGGAAAAUAGAGCCAUAGAAAAAGUACCGCAAGGGAAAGCUGAAAAAGAAAUGAAACAAACCAUUUAAGCCUAGAAUAGCAAAGCUUAUAACUUGUACCUUUUGCAUCAUGAUUUAGCAAGUAAAGCACAAGCAAAGAGCCCUUUAGUUUGUGACCCCGAAACUGAGCGAGCUACUUCAAGACAGCCUAUAAUUAUUUAGGGCAAACCCGUCUCUGUGGCAAUAGAGUGGGGAGAGCUUCAAGUAGAGGUGAUAAGCCUACCGAGCACAGUUAUAGCUGGUUGCCUGAGAAAUGAAUAGGAGUUCAGCCCUUUAAGUUUCCCUCAUCCCACAAGUUAUUACAUAAUUUGAUAAAGGAAAUUAAAGGAGUUAAUCAAAAGGGGCACAGCUCUUUUGAUAAAAGAAACAACUUUUACAGGUGGUUCAAGAUCAUA